rnacentral:rRNA from 1 species
GUCCCGAAUAGGUGCUGCAUCGCCCCCACCGCUUCGCCUCAAUUGGCACCAGCGCAGGCCACCCCGCCGCUCGACCUCGACUCGCACCAGAGGCGACCACCACCAUCCUCGCUGCUCCCUACCCUCCCCCAGCCCGAUAUGGAUGCCUAACCCGCGGGAACGGGCAGGCGGACGGCGGGCGAUGUGAGGCGCGGUGGCGGCACGAGGAAGAUGGGCAGAUCCGGGCACGGCGUUGACCGAUCUGGCGGCUGGUGCGCGGCUUGUUCCGGUCCCAACGACAUCCUGCUCAUCCAUAGAAGGAGAGAGAAGGGCCCGAGGGAGAGAGGAAACAGAUGAAGAAAGGAGAAGGGGCAUACGCAGGGUGAGGGAGGAAGUCGCCGGCGGUGGCGGCUCCGGUGACUGGCCGACGGGCUUGCUAGGCAAGGCUAAGGAGUACGCUAGCCUGAGAUUCGAUAGAGGUGUGUUUGAUUUUUAGAUUUGGGCUGAACAACCAAUUCUUGGGUAGAUUUAUUCGAUGUACUGAUGGAUCAUCCUCUGGAGUGCAUGAAUUGAAUGAAUUUCUGAAUUCUGAGCAGCAUGAAUUGAAUGAAUUUUGCACCACGGGGAAGAAGUUGUGGUGGCGGCGAAUUAUGUAGCCAUUGUCUCUCACGACUGCCGGCCCCUGCUCGCGACAUCUCUACUGAAGCCGCCUCUGCCUACUCUGGUGUGUUGCAGCUCCUUACUCUAGCCACAUGUCGCUUGCUCUCCCGCUAGCCUCUGCCUGCUCUGGUCUCGAAGUUGAUGACACCCUGAUGCAAAGCUUCCACAAUCAUUCGCUCCGUCUCAGCAGGAGGAGAGCAAUGGAAAUAACACCCCGUCGCGGUCCUGGUGCUUCUCUCCGUGGGUUCGCUUGCUCACCUCGGCGUUUGCGGCUUCUACAGGUACGUACUAGACAACUACCCAUUGUUUUUGUUUUCUAUUGACAGUUUGAUCGCUUCAUCAAUCCUUCUAGAGGGUCUUGACAGGAAGGACUGAGCAGCCAUUGUGCUGGAGUAGACUGUGUGACAGGUUUUUUCCUCUCUCUCCUACCCGUGAUUGGUUUCUUUGGUGAAGAAAGCAUCACUGUCUUUCAAUACAUCAUGGAUGCUCAACCUGUAUGUCUACAUGGUACAAGAAUGAAGAUUAACCAUUCAAUCUAUUGAUUCAGAGUGAGACAAGGGUGAAACAGAAUAAGCUCAUUUUUGUGAUGAGUUCCCUAGGCCCCAGAAGGCCAGAACUAGCAUUUUAAUUACAAAAUUCAGUUUUUGAUCACGUUAUUUCAGUUUCAUUAUAGACCUUAUAAUAUUUUUUAUGGAUUAAUAUAAGGUUUAUAAUAUUUUGUGGAGCAAUCAGUUGUGCAUAGAAAAGAGCUCACCUAAAUUAAUGACAUGUUCAUCUUAUCUUCGAUUAAAAAAUUUUGCCCCCUAAUAUUCAGUUCUACUGAGAGUUGUAGAAGGCAAAAAUCCAGCAAAUUAACUCAAGUAAGUGUUUUUGUUAUUUCCCAAUGUAAUUAAAAAUUUUCUUCUCAAAAUACGACAUGGUCAUUGUCGGAAAAGAAUAUUUAGCAUGAAUGUAGGUGCUUUCAUAUGAAGCUGGACAUGUUUACAAUGAUCGACCGGAUACCGUUACACGUGUCCUGAAUAUGAAGUUUAAUGAUUUCUGAGAAGAUGUUAAAAGUGGACAUUUGUUUCGUACAAUUCAAGCAUUUUAUACAUGAUGGAGUUCCAGAAUAGAGGCUUGCCUCAUACUCAUACUUCAAUUCGGCUUAUAUGGAACAAUCAUGAGCCUUCGGCCUCCUUCAUAGAUGGUUUGAUUUCGGCUGAGAUACCUGAUCGUUUGGUUGAGCCCUGGGUUAUGCUCUUAUGGAUUAAUUUAUGGUUCACGGUCCAUGUGGAGACUACAAAGUAAAGUGUGCAUGUAUGAAAGAUGGAUUGUGUUCCAAAAGAUUUCCCAAAGAUUUUAAUGAGCAGACGUCGGUUGAUGAUAGAGGCUUUCCUAUAUAUCAUAGACGUGAUUUGGGUUACUAUGUGAGGAACAAGGGUACUGCUAAGCUGGAUAAUCGAUGGGUAGUUUUCAUAUAAUAGUUUUGGUAAUGUAAUUAUUAAUGUAUUUUUCUUCUUGCGAAGCGUACUGGCAUAUGUUUGCUUUCAAUAUACAUGGUCGUGAGCCUGCAGUGG